rnacentral:rRNA from 1 species
UGCAAGUCGAACGAGAAAGUGGAGCAAUCCAUGAGUAAAGUGGCGACCGGGUGAGUAACACGUGACUAACCUACCUCCGAGUGGGGAAUAACUCCGGGAAACCGGGGCUAAUACCGCAUAACAUCGCGAGAUCAAAGCAGCAAUGCGCUUGGAGAGGGGGUCGCGGCUGAUUAGCUAGUUGGCGGGGUAACGGCCCACCAAGGCGAAGAUCGGUAUCCGGCCUGAGAGGGCGCACGGACACACUGGAACUGAAACACGGGCCAGACUCCUACGGGAGGCAGCAGUGGGGAAUUUUGCGCAAUGGGGGAAACCCUGACGCAGCAACGCCGCGUGGAGGAUGAAGCCCUUUGGGGCGUAAACUCCUUUCGACCAAGACGAUAAUGACGGUACUGGUGGAAGAAGCACCGGCUAACUCUGUGCCAGCAGCCGCGGUAAUACAGAGGGUGCGAGCGUUGUUCGGAAUUAUUGGGCGUAUAGGGCGCGUAGGCGGCGCCAUAAGUCACCUGUGAAAUCUC